AUUGAACGCUGGCGGCAUGCCUUACACAUGCAAGUCGAACGGCAGCACGGGUGCUUGCACCUGGUGGCGAGUGGCGAACGGGUGAGUAAUACAUCGGAACAUGUCCUGUAGUGGGGGAUAGCCCGGCGAAAGCCGGAUUAAUACCGCAUACGAUCUACGGAGGAAAGCGGGGGACCUUCGGGCCUCGCGCUAUAGGGUUGGCCGAUGGCUGAUUAGCUAGUUGGUGGGGUAAAGGCCUACCAAGGCGACGAUCAGUAGCUGGUCUGAGAGGACGACCAGCCACACUGGGACUGAGACGCGGCCCAGACUCCUACGGGAGGCAGCAGUGGGGAAUUUUGGACAAUGGGCGAAAGCCUGAUCCAGCAAUGCCGCGUGUGUGAAGAAGGCCUUCGGGUUGUAAAGCACUUUUGUCCGGAAAGAAAUCCUUGGCCCUAAUACGGUCGGGGGAUGACGGUACCGGAAGAAUAAGCACCGGCUAACUACGUG
rnacentral:rRNA from 1 species